CAGCUCUCAGAUGGCAUAUAAAAUGAGAGGAAAAGAGCACCUGAUCGGGCUGACAUCAAGAGAUCACAAGUGUUUGCAGGUUUUCCAGAGUGUUUAGGAAUAAAAGAGCAGUGAGUCAAAGUGUGUGGAAGAAGGAGCAGGAGCAGAGGAAAAGGUGUUGGUCCCAGCGGGUGGGAAAGAAUUAACAGUGCGGAGAGUAGGGGGGAGGAAGGUCAGUUUUGUUUGCACGAAACCUGCCUUUGUGGCCUGGGAUAUGACUGUAAAAUGUUUAACCGGGGGUCAAAUAUGGGCUUUGGACAAAGGUAGAAGGGGGCAGCCGGUGAACAUUGGAAGUGUUUUAAUCUGAAAUAGCCUCUCAAGGUGGAAGGCAGGAGGAGGUGAAUACGAGGCAAAGGGAAGUGGGUCUUGGGAGAAACCUGGUCAGCAGGGCAUCCCUCAGGUCGGGGGCAGGGCCUCCGGGUGUUUCAGGUCUCACUCAUUCCAUACACACUGGAACAGUUCCCUGCCACUGCUCUGCAAAUGCUGAUAACAGCUCCACAGAAAACAACUGAGGAAAACUGUUGAAGUGAUGAAGAAGGAGGUUACCUUCUAGGACUCCCCCGGUGCUGUCUUUCUGCGGAGCCCCCUUCUUCUCAGCCUCUAACCAGCCACCCGGGGAGCUGAGUCCUUCCCCCCGGCGCCCAGGCUGCUGCGCGGAGCUCAGACACACGUCCAUAGCCGGCUGUCCCAAAGACAGCUGUGCAUUGAAAAGCAAUCUACAAAAGAACGACUAUAAUCUACUGACUGACUGUUACUAGUUCAGCACAUCUAUGAUCUACAUCGCAUGUUCGUAAUUAAUACAGAAUUGGAAAUGACUCCUUGUUAGUAUGCCCAAAAUAAUUUUGAAUUGUUACACGUAUCUUUACCUUAUGCAGCAGAAGAGAUGUGAGGCUUCUGUGCACUCUUUAAUCCCCAGUGUUUUAUAUAGGUCUACACCUGAAAGGAUUAGCAUUUGAUGAACAAAAUCCAGCCAGUGGAAGCCCAAGUUAUUUAGGGUAGCAUUAUCUACCAGUCCUCAUAGACACAUUACUUUGCUAGAAUUCUCUCUCUUUCUCUCUCUCUCUCUCUCUCUCUCUCUCACACACACACACACACACACACACACACGCACAGUCCUAGCAACAUUCAAUGGAAUUCCCUUCAAAAGUUUCAGGAAUAUCACUGGAACAGAACAGAGGCUGCCCCUGUGGCAUCCAGUUGCUGCGAUGUGGUUCGAAACGUUAGACUUCCAGUUCACUUUUCAAAGAAGUGGGUGUUGGACAGUUGCACAGACUUGCAAAUUUUGUGCUCAUUUGCCAAACUCCAGUAGCCACAGGGAGGACAUGCCCACCCAGCCUCUGCCUAGGACCCGUAUCCAGGCAGCCAGAAAGAACACAAGGAUCUACCAAGAGGAAGGGAAUGCUUUGGGGAGGAAGAAAGGAGAGCAUCUAUCCAUGAGAAGGGACGGGAGUCAAAGGCUUAACGUUGAAUCUGGGGGAUUUAGAGCAGAGGGAAGAGGAAAUCAGAAAAACUCUUCCAAGAAAAAGUAAGCCAUUGUGAUUUAUUUAACUGAAAUAAGGGAUAGUCAAAAGGGAAGGAGAAAAAUCAUGUGCUCAUUUGUGAAGCUCAGAAACCCUUAAAAUAGAAUAUAGGUCACACAAAGUAAAGCCUCAGACAAAUGGGAAUUAAAGAAUCACUUGUGAUAGGCUACAUUCAACCAGGGAGUUGGAUGAAUGGUGUUUUAACCUGAGUAGAUAUAAAAGCCCAUUUUUGUUUUUGUACCCACCCUCGGUACUCGUUUCUCUGGUGUCACUAUUUUGUGUUCUUUAUGUCAGUUUCUUUUCACUCAGGAUGUUCAUCUAGAUGUGCUGUGGUCCCAUGUAAAUCACCUUUCCCACUUUCUUAAAUGACUGGGGAUAAGCCGGCAUUUGUUCCAGCUCUAUCGUUCUAAUGCUUUCUUAUUCCCCAAAUGCAUCUAGUUCUAUGAUUGCAUUCUGCAUCUCUGCAACUUAUUUCUUCCAGGUGUCAUCAGUCCCUAUGAGAAAUAGCAAAAAGAUAGUCAUCAGUACAAUUCUACAAAAACCUUUUAAAAACUGAUUGCAAUGUACGUGAAUAUAUGUGUGUAUAUUUAUAUGCAUGUAGACACACACAUAGACAAACAUAUGCGUUCAUUCUACAAGCUUUAAAAUGAAGCAAAGGACGAAGGAAAAAAUGUUGAUCUCCUUUAAUUCUACUAUCUAGAGAAAGAAACCUCACCAACUUUUUUUUUUGUAUCAACUUCUAGGCUUAUUUUUUUUGUAUAAACUUUUUUAAAGCUAUUUUACUGAAAAUGUGACUUGAUAGAAACAUGUACCUCUUUAACCUAGCAUCCUAUUAAGAGUUCCUUUUUAGGAUGAGUUCAUGUCCUUUGCAGGGACAUGGAUGAAGCUGGAAACCAUCAUUCUCAGCAAACUAACACAGGAACAGAAAACCAAACACCACAUGUUCUCACUCAUAAGUGGGAGUCGAACAAUGAGAACACAUGGACACAGGGAGGGGAACAUCACACACCUGGGCCUGUCAGGGGGUGGGGGACUUAGGGGACGGAGAGCAUUAGGAGAAAUACCUAAUGUAGAUGAUGGGUUGAUGGGUGCAACAAACCACCAUGGCACGUGUAUACCUAUGUAACAAACCUGCACAUUCUGCAUGUGUACCCCA
rnacentral:lncRNA from 10 species